UACAACAGUUUAGACCGAGCAGCGAGU
rnacentral:piRNA from 1 species